GAUGAACGCUGGCGGCGUGCCUAAUACAUGCAAGUCGAGCGAACAGACGAGGAGCUUGCUCCUCUGACGUUAGCGGCGGACGGGUGAGUAACACGUGGAUAACCUACCUAUAAGACUGGGAUAACUUCGGGAAACCGGAGCUAAUACCGGAUAAUAUAUUGAACCGCAUGGUUCAAUAGUGAAAGACGGUUUUGCUGUCACUUAUAGAUGGAUCCGCGCCGCAUUAGCUAGUUGGUAAGGUAACGGCUUACCAAGGCAACGAUGCGUAGCCGACCUGAGAGGGUGAGCGGCCACACUGGAACUGAGACACGGUCCAGACUCCUACGGGAGGCAGCAGUAGGGAAUCUUCCGCAAUGGGCGAAAGCCUGACGGAGCAACGCCGCGUGAGUGAUGAAGGUCUUCGGAUCGUAAAACUCUGUUAUUAGGGAAGAACAAAUGUGUAAGUAACUAUGCACGUCUUGACGGUACCUAAGCAGAAAGCCACGGCUAACUACGU
rnacentral:rRNA from 1 species